UUGGCAUUCUGUCCACCUCCUUUCAUCGGAGAGAAUACCAGAAUCUAACAAACCAGAAACCUUAUUUUUCACGAAAAAAUAAAAAGAGAAAAAAAAACGUGAAAUUGUUUUGGCUUGUUUAGGAGGUGGGCAUACUGCCAA
rnacentral:pre_miRNA from 1 species